rnacentral:lncRNA from 1 species
UCAAAUUUUAUAAAGGAAUUCAUUUUCCUUGGUGGAUGUUUUCCUUCAUUCAUUAGAGUAACAAUGGCCAUACUGUUGCAUCAAGACACUGGUAAAAGCUAAUACAAUGGUUUGGAAUUAAUCAUUUUUCUUCCACUUUCUGAAAAAAUUAAUCUAAGAGAGUUGUGUAAAUGCAGUGUGGAGCAUCUGGAAAACAUAAGAAUACAUUAUCACCAGACACUCAAACGUUGGAGGAAAAAUUUCUUGGACAAUGAGAGGUAAGAAGCAUAAACUCUGCACCAAAAGAUGUAUUAUGUGCAGCAACUAGUUGAAUCAAGAAGUCUUCCUCUUCCAGUAAACAGGUUUUUUUGGAUAUAUAUUUCCAAACUGAAAUAUUUGAUUAAAAGGAUUUUGAGCACAUGCCCUUGGAAGAAGACAAAUCAAAACCUAGCAUCAGACAUUAUUUUCAAGUUAUUUCAUAUUUAUAGCUUGUUGGGUAUUAUAAAUGAAAAUGGUUUUGCCAGAAACAUUUUUGUUUCCAAAAAGGGAAAUGUUGGAGCAGUUGAAACUAAUUCUGGGGGCAACUUUUGUGUGUUGCGCAGAAAAAUUAUAGAGCUUGGAGUUUACUUUAUAUAUAAAUUUUAUGUUUUUCAGUUUUUGCAUGUCAGAUAAGAAUUGAUCUGAUUUAAUUAUUUUUUAGGAGGGUUGUUUCCAUUCUAUGAGCUUCCUAUGUACAUUUCAUAUAUCCUUAAUAUGGCGGGGUGUGAUUAUUUUAUUGAUCAAAGAGAGACAGUAGGUAUGCACAUAUUAAGGUAUACGUAAACUUUAUCAAGUUGAUGCUGUUGAUUUUCUCUACUUCUUUCCAGAAACUAAUACCAAAUUAUAGCUUGAUCCUUAUCUACAAACUAGUAGAUCAAGGCUGGACCUUACUGUGUCUAGACUGAAAGUUUUCAGACACACUUUUAUUAUAGAUCAAGCUAAUGUUGUUUCAACUCUCACUUCUCACAGCUUGUCUUUGUUCCUCACACUCUUUGAAGAUUCUAUUUAAAUGUCACAUGGAAUUUGUGAAACUUGGCAUUUAAAAGUGUGGUAAAUAAUCCCAUUCUUCAUGAUGUAGGCAUUGAAUUAAAAUCAUUUCAUGCAUUGGAACAAGUGUUUUAGAAAAACUGAGAUACAAGGUUGGAAUUAUUUUUCAUUUCUUUAAUACAUUGAGAAAAUUGAGUAUGAUAUCAAGGUUGGAAUUAUUGAGUAUGAAAGCAUUUAAUCAUUUCAAUUUUUCUUUACUAGAACCUCUUUUGAUUGAUCUCGGUCCCUUUGAUGGUGUCUUGCAAGAGAAUGGUAUCAUCUAUUGUCCUCAAGUAUUGUUAUUAGAUUAUUCCAUAUCAUCUAAUCGAAAACUAUGAAAAUUCUUACAAUAGAUGACUGAGAAAAUCACAUUGUCUAGUUAGAUGAGCAUUUAGAUAUUUAUUACAUAGGUUACACAUGUGAGGCUUAUUAUAAUUAAAUAUAAGAUCUAUGGUUUUUUACUUGUUCUGACUGAUUCCACUUUCUUGGAUGGUGCUUUGUAGGAGAAUGGUUUUUAUGCUGAGUUUGGUCUUGAUGUUUCUUAAGAUGCAAUAAUUGAUUUUGCUUCCUAAAGGGCAGAGAUUGAAAUUGUUUAUGGUGUUUCUGUGGAGAAGAGCUUGAUUGGCCACUGUGCACCUUUGUUGUCGAUGCUUUGUAGAAAUUUUGGUUUGAUGCAAGAGGUGUAGCUCUCCCUCUUCACUUCUCAUAGCUAUGUCUAAGUUCCUCACAUUAUUUGAAGAUUUUGUUUAAACUCCACAUGGAAUUUACAAACCUUGACAUUUGAAUGUGUGGUAAGUAAUCUCAUCCUUCAUGAUGGAGGUAUUGAGCUAAAACCUUUUAGCCUGACAUUGGCAUUGGUUUUGGAAGUUUAGACUAGAUUUUUUCUUAAAAUUCAACAAAAUUCAUUUAUAAGGUGAAAAUAGUUUUUUUUCCCACUAUUUUUGAAAUUUAAAUUUCCUUUGAAUUUUAAUAUUUUAUUAUGCUUUUGGGAACAUAUGUUAUUUUGUGAAUUGGAGUGUUGGAUAUUUUUAUAUGCAUAUAUGCUAUUCUUUUGUAUAUGUUAGAUGAAGGGAAUAUAUUUCAUAUUAACGUACCAUUCACUAAAAAUCACUGGUGUUGUCAUUAUGGUAUUUUACAUUAUUACUAUGGAUGCGAUUGUAAUUUACCCUAGACCUAUAUCGUGCCGUAGAAAUGGAGGGGUGCACUGUAGCCAAUUAACCUAGUAAUCUUUUAUGCCAAGAGAUAAAGGGGCACUAGAGCAGUUUGUAUGAGAAGUGUGUCGAGAGAUGUAGGGAUAUUGUGUCUAUAAGGCACCAUGAUAUUUGAGACAUAUGUCGCCUGCGGUUGCAUAUGUGAUACAUGCUGAUGAAGGAAAGGGCAUUGUAGCAGUUAUAUUGCAUAUGUGUCGAGAGUUGGAGUGACAUUGUAGCCAUGGAUUAUGCAUGUGUUUGAUUGAUUAUACAUCGGGUAGUCCAAUGUUGCAUGUCUACUUGAUUGUUAUACCAUAUAUUAUCUACGUUGAGUGUUACCUACAUGAUAAAACUCCUCUUUCUACUUUGGACUGACCACACUACAACCUGUAUUAUAUGAUCAUUCACUGAGUUAUUCACUUUGUAGUUCCCUAAAUUUUUUAGAUGAGGACCUAGUAGAACCAAAUACCAAGCAAGGUAUGGAGGAUAGUCAACAAGGCAUAUAAAUGUUGUUGUCGUUUCCUUUUGCUUCUUUUUGGAUAGACUACUGGCAUGUAGCCAUUUUCUUAGGUAUGUACAAGUUUUCGAUCCCUUAAGACCAGCUUUUAUGUAUGCAAAACUGUUUAUCUCGGACAUAGUAAUGAAUUUAUAGUUCCUUUAAUAUGCAUCCUUGUAUUGCUUUGACAUAGUAUAUCUUGUCACAAGUUAAUUUUCUUUCAUAGGAUAGUAUCUACAUCUCAGUCUUCAGACUAGGGAAGAGACGUUGUCUUGCGUGGAUGGCGCUUGCAAGGGUGGGUCGUCACAUUUUUUGUACAUAUUAACCAUAUUUUGUGGUUUUAAUCUGUUUUUCUUCUUACUCAAACUUGUAUGAGUAUCAUUUAAUAUCUUUGAUGCAGUGUUUUUCUAUGUUGAAGAGCAAGAUGCAUUUGAUGUGUAUUCCAUAAUCAAUGGCUUCUCUAGUCUUACCCUUUCUUGUAAAAUGUAAAGUAGAUGUUGUAUAGUCUUAGGUCCAAUCUCAGUGUUCUUCCAAAUCUGAAUUCUCUUUUUUGAGUUUCUAAUGAUCAUGUUGAUGAUGUACUAAUUCUUGAUCAGGUGGCCUUGCAUCGAAAUGCUUUUAAAAUCUAUACUUUUUUUUUCCCAACAACAACCCCAAGGUACUCUUCCAUUUUAUGUGCAUGUGUGUCAUAUUGGGAAGUUGCUACUAAUUUAUGAAAGUGUUCUUGUAAUGGAUUUAGGCAGUACUAGUUGUAAGAAGAAACAACCUAUACACUCUUGGAAUUGGAAACAACAGAGGGGUUAACUCCAUGAGACCAUAUGCAAAUUACUUAUUUUUUGUUGUAAAUCAAGUUGGGUGAGUAGUUGGAUUUGUUUUAAUUUUAUUUUGCAUGUUUAUCUUUGUAGGUUUAAUUUACAUCUCUUGUACACUAUGGUUAAGAACACAAUACUGUUAAAAGAUUGAAAGACAAAAGAUGCUCUCUGUGAUUUAAUGGGGACAUGUGCUACCAAAUACCACUAUAUGGUGCAAUCAUGUGUUGUUGGUAGUUUGGUUGGUUCUCCUAUCAUAGAGGUUGGAAGGACAAACCGAAAAGACUAUGUGAAGGACAAAGUUGGGGCUAUAAAUAUCAGACGUUGCUUUCUUGUGGAGCUCGUUGAUAGAUUUGCAAAGUUGAUUUUAGCCAACACAGGUUGUCCUGUAUUUUCUUAGGACUAGUCCACUUAUGAAGCCGUGGAGAAUGUGUUUGUUACCAUAUAUAUCAAGAAAAGUUUGUUUUCUUUAAUUAUCCUACAAAUUCAUGGCAUCUAAACAAGUGGGGUAAAUCUUUUGGUUCAUGAUUUAUAUUCAGUUUUCUUAUCAAUGGUGUUUUUUCCCAUCAACAAUUGAUAAAACCCUCAAAUAUUCUCAACCAUGAGAAAUGGGAAGAAAAGCAAAAAUAAAAAAUUAAAAUUAAUAAUCAAUUGAACAUUUGAGUAAUCCAUUGUUUUUUUUAUAUUAUUUUUUAAUAAUUUUUAUUUGAUACCUGGUGAACAAACUCUCUCUUGUGCAUCAAAUUCAACUAUUCUGUGUAUUUGAGUUAAGUUUUCACUUUCCAAGUUAGAUUCAAAUAUCUAUUUUAUUCUCAUUAGUCAUUUUUCUAAGUAAAGAUAUUGACAUUAGUUAUUUUGCAUAUUUUAACCAUUUUUUUUUUUUUAGGAUUUUAAUAUUUUUUUCUUUUUAUGCAAAUAGAUGUAUUAUUUGAUCUCUCUUGGAAAGAGUUUUUCUGUCUCGAAGAGUAAGACGUGUUUGAUCAUGUAUGUUCAUUAAUCAAAGGUUUCUCUAGUCUCACAUUAUCUUGUAAAUUAAAUCUUGGGGAGAGUCCUAGGCCCAAUCUGAGCGUUCUUCCAAAGGUGGAUUCUCCAUCUCGAGUUACUUACGAUUUGUUGAUAAUGUACUGAUCCUUGAUUGGGUAGCCUCACAUUGGAUUGCUUUUAAAACCUAUACUUUUUUGCUUCUCAAUAUUGUCCUCAUUCUGGGGUCUAAUAUUGGUUUCAACAACUCCAAGGUUGCUUGAACUGCAUGCUUGGAUCGGAUGCAUUACUCUUACAAGUUUUCUAAAGAGCGAAAGAAAAACCUAUUGUCUAAUAAUGAGACCCUGAUAUUUGGCAUUCUGAAAAGCUUAAUCACCCGUUUUUGGCUGUUAGAUAACUUAUGGUAUGCGGUUACUGAUAAUGUUAUUGAUUUUAUUUAUGCAAUUCAUCCAACUAUUGAAACCUUAGUUGUUGACUUGAAGAAAAUGUCUCUUAGUUGCAAAAUUACAUUGAAAGUGGUAUCAUGCGUCCUUUCAACUAUUCUUGUAACAAAACUUAGUAGAUAUUUAUUCAUUAUGUUCCAUGUUGCUAUUAACCAAUUGACGCAUAUGGUGUCAUGUAUCCAAAUAGAAAUCUUAAUUGACAGUUUUGGCUGCCAGGAAACAUGAUGGUAUGCUGCUGCUGAUAAUGUUAUUGUUGCUAUCUAUGCUACUCAUCCAACUCCUAUGGAGAAAUAUGGAAGUUGUGGUUGAAAAGGUUUGCAAUAGGUUUGGUGGAGUCACAUGUAUUGUUUAUACUAUUGUUUUAAUUAUAUUUUCAUCUAUCAUGUGCUAAUAUGACAACUUAUUACCAUGUCAGGUUUUAAUGCAUGACUUCAUUAUAAGAUAUAAUGUCAUGGCACCUACGCUUGGACUAGUCUCUUAUUUACCCAUAUUGGAGACAUACUUCAUUAAUAACCUAGCAAGGUAUUAAGUUGUUCUUGCAUUACCUCAUUUACAGUUUAUUUUUUUAUUAAUUGGUGUAUUUUUUUCACACUAAUGAAAACCAGAGUAAAAUUUUGAAACAAAUAAACAAAAUACUCUUAGUCAUGACUCUUUUUCUCUCUAAUUUUGAAACGAUCUUAAAAAACAAAAUUUAAAAAUUACCAUGUGUCCCAGUUUAAAAAAACAUAUCUAAAUAGGCCUUGAAAAUAAAUAAACUAGGACAAAUGAAAUUAAUUAUUGGGACAUGAAAAUAUUAUAUAAAUUCUGGUUAAAUGAAGCCGAUGAUCUGAUAUAGAUAUACCAUUCUCAUUCUUUAGUCCUGAGACUUUCCUUUCUUUCACCUCUUUUCUUCUCCUCUUCUCUUUUAUGUACCUUAUUGUCGUCACGAUCUCACCUUCUCGUUCCAAACAAAAACAAAUUUUUUCCCUUGGUAGCAUAGAAAGUGAAAGAAACUGGAGGUAGGAAGACGAGGCUUUUGUGUCUCAUCUAUGGUGGCGUCUCCCAGAAGUGGAAUCUAGGGCGCAGCAGAAAGAAGGGGAAGUGAAAGGCGGAGGACUUUUGAGUUUUAUUGGCCGAGAGGCUAGGGCACGAUGUGAUUUGGUUCGAUCUUGGUGUGGAAGCUCGGGGAAUCAGCUUAGUGCGUAGUGGUUUUGUGGUUGUGGGAUUUUGGAAACCUUAGAUUUGGGUUAGGGUUGUGUGGUUGGCUGAUUAAGCUAGGGGCGGGGCUGCCCAUGCGAUUGACUGGGUUUUCAUGCCGUCAAAACCACUUCCUUGGGAUC